rnacentral:lncRNA from 1 species
GACUUUAUGGCUCUCUACAACCUCUUGAGGUGGGGAAAUAGAGAAAGAGGUGCUGGUCUCUUCUUGUUGGUCACCAAUGGUAGGACACAAAGCUGCACCAGAGGAGGUUCUAAAUAUUAAAAAACAUUUCUCUACCAUGAGGGUGGGCAAACACUAGAACUGACUUCCUGGAGAAGCAGGUGAUGCCCAAUGCUUGUCAGUGUCCAAGAGGCAUUUGGAUAAUGUCCUUAAUAAUAUGCUUUACAUUUUGUUUAGCCCUAAUGUGGUCAGGCAGUUGGAGUAGAUGAUCUUUGAAGGUUCCUUCAAAGGGGGAUGAACUAUUCCAUUCCAUUCCAUUCCAUUCCAUUCCAUUCCAUUCCAUUCCAUUCCAUUCCAUUCCAUUCCAUUCCAUUCUAUUUCAUGUUAGGGUUAAAAACUGUUAGGUUUGGUCCGAUGUGAAACAGGCCUUCUUGUCAGACUAGCAAACUCUGACCUUUCAAUGAUACACAUUGCUAGCUCAGCAAUAUGGCACCAAGCCACAAGUCAUCCAGCAUGAGACAACGCUGCCAUCAGCAUGGCAUGCAUUGGCCACAUGGCUGUGUGUGAUCGCAGCAGCCUGGCAAGGAUUGCCGAGUGAUUCCCUUGGGCUAGAGCCACCAGUCGUGCAAUGCCCCGGGUUUGGGAGCAUGCAGGGGCAAAACGUAUAAACAGAGCAAGUCGCUCCGCAUCGCUGAGGCAAGAGCAUCAGCUGAGGUCAAUGUUGCCUCUGUGGGAAUGCCUGCAAGAUGUUGAGACCUACUGCAUCAACAGGAUGCUGACCUGGCUAAGUUUCUACGACAUUGACAAUUGGGAAAGGCAUUGUGCUCGUCGGUACACUUGUCAUCACCCUGGAGUUGGAAACCAGGAGUUGAUACUCUGUAAAACGUGUGAGAUAAGGGGAGAAAGAUAUCAGCAACAGUCUGACAGCUAUGCUGUCAUUAGUAAUUAAACAUUAAUGGAAAAUCGUUGCAGAAGCUACCGUUCACUCACACAGAAGAGCCUGGAGAUGCCAGAGUUAGCCUUGCUGGACUGCACUGGGUAUAUACUGACGAUUUGAUUCCUCAGCUGCCAAGGGUGAUAAAAUGGUUCUGUAAGGAAUAGGCAGAUCUCCAUAAUUUGUGCCAAAUCCUAGCUGUUACUGAACAAAAAGAGGAAGAUGGAGAAGGGAGCAUGCUCCUGUUAUCUAGGCAGUAUACAUGUGAUGCUAUGGAGAAAUUCCUGGGGACAGAUACCAGUUAUCAGCUGCAGACUUUGAAAUCCGUUCUUAAUCUCCCUAUGUGACCUUCAGGCCUUUAAAAAAAAAAAAAAAAAAAACAAAACUUGUGCAAAAGUUAACAUACAAUAUGACUCUCUUAUUAUGUUUAUGUAAUACAGGCAUAAUUGUUUAAUAAAUUAUUUGAAAUUGAAUUUCA